rnacentral:rRNA from 1 species
GCUUGUCUCAAAGAUUAAGCCAUGCAUGUCUAAGUAUAAGCCUUUGUACGGCGAAACUGCGAAUGGCUCAUUAAAACAGUUAUAGUUUAUUCGAUAAUCAAUUGCUACAUGGAUAACUGUAGUAAUUCUAGAGCUAAUACAUGCGUCAGAACCCAACUUUACGGAAGGGUCGUGUUUAUUAGAUACAAAACCAACAUCUCGUUGGUGAUUCAUAAUAACUAAGCGAAUCGCAUGGGCUCGCCCGGCGAUAGACCUUUCAAGUUUCUGAUCUAUCAGCUAUUGACGGUAGGGUAUUGGCCUACCGUGGCGAUGACGGAUAAAGGGGGAUUAGGGUUCGACUCCUGAGAGGGAGCCUGAGAAACGGCUACCACAUCUAAGGAAGGCAGCAGG